AGAGUUUGAUCCUGGCUCAGGAUAAACGCUGGCGGCAUGCCUAAUACAUGCAAGUCGAACGGAGGUGCUUGCACCUCAGUGGCGAACGGGUGAGUAACACGUAUCUAAUCUACCUUCUAGCGGGGGAUAACUUUUGGAAACGAAAGGUAAUACCGCAUGUGGAUGUUAUUAUCGCAUGAGAAAACAUUCAAAGAUCCGUUUGGAUCACUAGAAGAUGAGGAUGCGGCGUAUUAGCUAGUAGGCGGGGUAAAGGCCCACCUAGGCGAUGAUACGUAGCCGAACUGAGAGGUUGAUCGGCCACAUUGGGACUGAGAUACGGCCCAGACUCCUACGGGAGGCAGCAGUAGGGAAUUUUUCACAAUGGACGAAAGUCUGAUGAAGCAAUGCCGCGUGAGUGAUGACGGCCUUCGGGUUGUAAAGCUCUGUUGUAAGGGAAGAAAAAAUAGGAGAGGAAAUGCUCUUAUCUUGACGGUACCUUACCAGAAAGCCACGGCUAACUAUGUGCCAGCAGCCGCGGUAAUACAUAGGUGGCAAGCGUUAUCCGGAUUUAUUGGGCGUAUAGGGUGCGUAGGCGGUUUCGCAAGUUUGAGGUUAAAGCCCGGAGCUCAACUCCGGUUCGCCUUGAAAACUGCGGGACUAGAAUAUCAGAGAGGUAAGCGGAAUUCCAUGUGUAGCGGUAAAAUGCGUAGAUAUAUGGAAGAACACCAGUGGCGAAAGCGGCUUACUGGCUGAUUAUUGACGCUGAGGCACGAAAGCGUGGGGAGCAAAUAGGAUUAGAUACCCUAGUAGUCCACGCCGUAAACGUUGAGUACUAAGUAUUGGGGAUUACCUCAGUGCUGCAGCUAACGCAUUAAGUACUCCGCCUGAGUAGUAUGCUCGCAAGAGUGAAACUCAAAGGAAUUGACGGGGACCCGCACAAGUGGUGGAGCAUGUGGUUUAAUUCGAAGCAACACGAAGAACCUUACCAGGGCUUGACAUACAGUGCAAAGCUACAGAGAUGUAGUGGAGGUUAACAUUGAUACAGGUGGUGCAUGGUUGUCGUCAGUUCGUGCCGUGAGGUGUUGGGUUAAGUCCCGCAACGAACGCAACCCUUGUCGUUAGUUACUAACAUUAAGUUGAGGACUCUAACGAGACUGCUAGUGUAAGCUAGAGGAAGGUGGGGAUGACGUCAAAUCAUCAUGCCCCUUAUGUCCUGGGCUACACACGUGCUACAAUGGCCGAUACAAAGAGUCGCAAUCUCGCGAGGGGGAGCUAAUCUCAAAAAGUCGGUCUCAGUUCGGAUUGAAGUCUGCAACUCGACUUCAUGAAGCCGGAAUCACUAGUAAUCGCGAAUCAGCUAUGUCGCGGUGAAUACGUUCUCGGGUCUUGUACACACCGCCCGUCAAACCACGAGAGUUGGUAAUACCAGAAGUACGUUUCCUAACCGUAAGGAAGGCGCGUCCCAAGGUAGGACUAGCGAUUGGGGUUAAGUCGUAACAAGGUAUCCGUACGGGAACGUGCGGAUGGAUCACCU
rnacentral:rRNA from 1 species